rnacentral:rRNA from 1 species
UACGUAGGAUCCGAGCGUUGUCCGGAUUUACUGGGUGUAAAGGGUGCGCAGGCGGGCUGGUGAGUCUGGGGUGAAAUCUCGCCGCUUAACGGCGAAACUGCCUUAGAUGCUAUCAGUCUUGAAUCAGCGAGAGGUUCGUGGAAUUCCGAGUGUAGCAGUGAAAUGUGUAGAUAUUCGGAAGAACACCAGUGGCGAAGGCAGCGAACUGGCGCUCGAUUGACGCUCAGGCACGAAAGCAUGGGGAUCAAACAGG